rnacentral:rRNA from 1 species
GACGAACGCUGGCGGCGUGCCUAAUACAUGCAAGUCGAACGCAUUUUCUUUCACCGUAGCUUGCUACACCGAAAGAAAAUGAGUGGCGAACGGGCGAGUAACACGUGGGUAACCUGCCCAUCAGCGGGGGAUAACACUUGGAAACAGGUGCUAAUACCGCAUAAUUCCAUUUACUGCAUGGUAGAUGGAUGAAAGGCGCUUUUGCGUCACUGAUGGAUGGACCCGCGGUGCAUUAGCUAGUUGGUGGGGUAACGGCCUACCAAGGCUGCGAUGCAUAGCCGACCUGAGAGGGUGAUCGGCCACGCUGGGACUGAGACACGGCCCAGACUCCUACGGGAGGCAGCAGUAGGGAAUCUUCGGCAAUGGACGCAAGUCUGACCGAGCAACGCCGCGUGAGUGAAGAAGGUUUUCGGAUCGUAAAACUCUGUUGUUAGAAAAGAACAAGGAUGAGAGUGGAAAGUUCAUCCCUUGACGGUAUCUAACCAGAAAGCCACGGCUAGCUACGUG